rnacentral:rRNA from 1 species
AUCUACGGCCAUACCACCCUGAACGCGCCCGAUCUCGUCUGAUCUCGGAAGCUAAGCAGGGUCGGGCCUGGUUAGUACUUGGAUGGGAAACAAAGUUUUUUAAACC